rnacentral:rRNA from 1 species
GGGGGCAGAGUGACAGGUGGUGCAUGGUUGUCGUCAGCUCGUGUCGUGAGAUGUUGGGUUAAGUCCCGCAACGAGCGCAACCCUUGAUCUUAGUUGCCAGCAUUCAGUUGGGCACUCUAAGGUGACUGCCGGUGACAAACCGGAGGAAGGUGGGGAUGACGUCAAAUCAUCAUGCCCCUUAUGACCUGGGCUACACACGUGCUACAAUGGGCAGAACAAAGGGCAGCGAAGCCGCGAGGCUAAGCCAAUCCCACAAAUCUGUUCUCAGUUCGGAUCGCAGUCUGCAACUCGACUGCGUGAAGCUGGAAUCGCUAGUAAUCGCGGAUCAGCAUGCCGCGGUGAAUACGUUCCCGG